UGUGGGAGCGGGCUUGCCCGCGAUAGCGAUGGGUCAGUCAAAUUUCUAUCAACUGACCCUCCGCUAUCGCGGGCAAGCCCGCUUCCACA
rnacentral:misc_RNA from 1 species